rnacentral:lncRNA from 1 species
UGAUUGUUUCUUUCAACUUAUACAAAAAAAUUUCUUCAAAGAAAUAACAGUAAGUGUGAUUUACUUCAUUCAUUGAGUUCGUUGAAGUUCUGCAAUUUGUAUUGCCAGUAUUGUAGAAUAGUGUUCUGUUAUACCCUGAGAGGAAUUAAUCUAAAUCUUGGGUAAUUGCGAGGGGAUUAAAUUCUUUAAGACAUUUUGCGGGCUUAAAGUUAGAUUUUUUCUAUCAUUUUGUGGUUCUGUUUUGCAGGAAAAAC